UACGAAGGGGGCUAGCGUUACUCGGAAUUACUGGGCGUAAGGGCGCGUAGGCGGCAUGAUAAGUCAGGCGUGAAAUUCCCGGGCUCAACCUGGGGACUGCGCUUGAGACUGUUGAGCUAGAGGAUGGAAGAGAGUCGUGGAAUUCCCAGUGUAGAGGUGAAAUUCGUAGAUAUUGGGAAGAACACCGGUGGCGAAGGCGGCGACCUGGUCCAUUACUGACGCUGAGGAGCGAAAGCAUGGGGAGCGAACAGG
rnacentral:rRNA from 1 species